GGCUAAUACCGCAUAACGUCGCAAGACCAAAGAGGGGGACCUUCGGGCCUCUUGCCAUCAGAUGUGCCCAGAUGGGAUUAGCUUGUUGGUGAGGUAACGGCUCACCAAGGCGACGAUCCCUAGCUGGUCUGAGAGGAUGACCAGCCACACUGGAACUGAGACACGGUCCAGACUCCUACGGGAGGCAGCAGUGGGGAAUAUUGCACAAUGGGCGCAAGCCUGAUGCAGCCAUGCCGCGUGUAUGAAGAAGGCCUUCGGGUUGUAAAGUACUUUCAGCGGGGAGG
rnacentral:rRNA from 2 species